AGGCUGCCAUGAUUCAGGCCUGGCAAGGGCCCAGAUAGGAAAAAACAAACAAACUUCAUUCCCUUCACACACGCUCCGUUCUUCUUCCUCCCUCCAGGACCAGAUUAGCCAUGGCGACCCUGCCGCCCAGGUCGGGAGCUUUCUCCAAGGGCUAUAAGUUGGCCUACGCCUGGGACAAGGAGGCGCCGCUCACGGGGCAGCAGAACGCCGCCAUCUCCGCGCUCUCGCACGCCCUCGCCGCCCGGCUGUUCCCGGCUAAUCUGCAAGAUGCAGACAACGACUCUGCUUUCAAGGAGGCCGGUGCAGUGGAUGCGGCCUUGGUGAACACACAUCAGUUCUACAAAUGGUUUGUUCAACUAGAAUCUGCCAUGAAAUCCGAGAUUGACGAAAAGUAUCGCCUCUAUGAGAGUACAUUACAGGAACAUGUUAACACAUGUGAUGGUAUCCUUCGACAAUUUAACAUUGAGUACCUCCUGCUCCAUUAAAUCAGGUGGAUGACACACUCAACUUGUUUGAACAAGUACAAUCCUUGCACUCGAGAGCUGCCAUAAGAAUACAAACUUUGCAUGAUGCUUGCGACCAACUUUUGAUGGACAAACAAAGGCUUGUUGGGUUUGCUGAAGCACUCCGAAGCCAUCCAUCUGAGAUCCAACGUGCCACGUCAAAAUUUUCUAGUUUUGCGCGUUUAGCUCAGUUUCUACUAUAGUCUUCCCCUGCUGAAGCGCGUAGGUCAAACUAUUUUUAUGAAUUGGAAAAUGUAAGAUCUGGCAUGCAUAAAUAUGUGCAUGCGUGUGUGAUGCUUAGAAUUGUUUUUCAAACAUCAAUUAAUCAGUGAUGAUAAGUACUAUA